GACGAACGCUGGCGGCGUGCCUAAUACAUGCAAGUAGAACGCUGAAGGAGGAGCUUGCUUCUCUGGAUGAGUUGCGAACGGGUGAGUAACGCGUAGGUAACCUGCCUGGUAGCGGGGGAUAACUAUUGGAAACGAUAGCUAAUACCGCAUAAUAGUAGAUGUCGCAUGACAUUUGCUUAAAAGGUGCAAUUGCAUCACUACCAGAUGGACCUGCGUUGUAUUAGCUAGUUGGUGAGGUAACGGCUCACCAAGGCAACGAUACAUAGCCGACCUGAGAGGGUGAGCGGCCACACUGGGACUGAGACACGGCCCAGACUCCUACGGGAGGCAGCAGUAGGGAAUCUUCGGCAAUGGACGGAAGUCUGACCGAGCAACGCCGCGUGAGUGAAGAAGGUUUUCGGAUCGUAAAGCUCUGUUGUAAGAGAAGAACGAGUGUGAGAGUGGAAAGUUCACACUGUGACGGUAUCUUACCAGAAAGGGACGGCUAACUACGUG
rnacentral:rRNA from 1 species